rnacentral:rRNA from 1 species
GACGAACGCUGGCGGCGUGCUUAACACAUGCAAGUCGAACGGAAAGGCCCUGCUUUUGUGCUGUGCUCGAGUGGCGAACGGGUGAGUAACACGUGAGUAACCUGCCCUUGACUUUGGGAUAACUUCAGGAAACUGGGGUUAAUACCGUAUAGGAGCUCCUGCUGCAUGGUGGGGGUUGGAAAGUUUCGGCGGUUGGGGAUGGACUCGCGGCUUAUCAGCUUGUUGGUGGGGUAGUGGCUUACCAAGGCUUUGACGGGUAGCCGGCCUGAGAGGGUGACCGGCCACAUGGGGACUGAGAUACGGACCAGACUCCUACGGGAGGCAGCAGUGGGGAAUAUUGCACAAUGGGCGGAAGCCUGAUGCAGAAACGCCGCGUGCGGGAUGACGGCCUUCGGGUUGUAAACCGCUUUCGCCUGUGACGAAGCGUGAGUGACGGUAAUGGGUAAAGAAGCACCGGCUAACUACGUG